rnacentral:rRNA from 1 species
AUACGUAGGGUGCGAGCGUUGUCCGGAAUUACUGGGCGUAAAGAGCUCGUAGGUGGUUUGUCGCGUCGUCUGUGAAGUUCCGGGGCUUAACUCCGGGCGUGCAGGCGAUACGGGCAUAACUUGAGUACUGUAGGGGAGACUGGAAUUCCUGGUGUAGCGGUGAAAUGCGCAGAUAUCAGGAGGAACACCGGUGGCGAAGGCGGGUCUCUGGGCAGUAACUGACGCUGAGGAGCGAAAGCAUGGGUAGCGAACAGGAUUAGAUACCCUGGUAGUCCAUGCCGUAAACGGUGGGCGCUAGGUGUAGGGGUCUUCCACGACUUCUGUGCCGUAGCUAACGCAUUAAGCGCCCCGCCUGGGGAGUACGGCCGCAAGGCUAAAACUCAAAUGAAUUGACGGGG